rnacentral:rRNA from 1 species
GUAGGGAAUAUUGGGCAAUGGUCGGAAGACUGACCCAGCCAUGCCGCGUGCAGGAAGACGGCCCUCUGGGUUGUAAACUGCUUUUAUCUGGGAAGAAAAAGGCCAUGCGUGGCAAAUUGCCGGUACCAGAUGAAUAAGCACCGGCUAACUCCGUGCCAGCAGCCGCGGUAAUACGGAGGGUGCGAGCGUUGUCCGGAUUUAUUGGGUUUAAAGGGUGCGUAGGCGGCUGAUUAAGUCAGCGGUGAAAGACUUCGGCUUAACCGGAGCAGUGCCGGUGAUACUGGUUGGCUUGAGUGUCGGAGGGGUACAUGGAAUUGAUGGUGUAGCGGUGAAAUGCAUAGAUACCAUCAGGAACACCGAUAGCGAAGGCAUUGUACUGGCCGACAACUGACGCUGAUGCACGAAAGUGUGGGGAUCGAACAGGAUUAGAUACCCUGGUAGUCC